UCCAUAUGAUUCUGUUGCCAAAGGAAAGACAUUGGUUGCGAAGCUGCUAAAUUUACCUGAAACAUCUUAAGGAUGGUAAAGUCAAUAGGUUUGACUCUACUUCAGGUAAAGUCCAUUGUCUAACUCUAUUAAGUUUCUAUUCUGAGAUUCUUAUUGCAUAAUGUGACGAGGUCACAUGUUGAUGUUUUAAGAAUCAAAGAAAAGGUGAAGAAACUUAAAGGAAGUAUAUGCUGAUUCUGAUCGCGAAGAUGGAUUUCGAUCGCAUGGUUCGGUGAUCAGAAUUUUGAGUUGUUACUUAAGAGUUAUGAUAUAUUGCUUAGGAAUAGAUAACAACAAGUUUUCCAUAUGGAUUGUAAGGAUAAAUUUUUCCGCAAAGUUUUAAAAUAAAAGAAAAAUGGUUUUGAUUUUAUUUAUUUUAAGUAUCCUUACAAUGGCAUUUGUGAAAAAUUGUUGAUUAUAUGUUUCCAUGGAUAAGAAAUAUGAGUAAAUGGAUUUGAUUCUUUCAUUAGUGGAAGUGUCAUAAUUUACCAAAUAAGGAAAGAUUCUCAUCUCCCAAGUUUCAGUUGGAUAGAAACUUGGAAUCAUGCAACUUGUAUUGUAUGAUCAUGAGAAUUUUUUUAUAUAUUUGGGAAAUUAAGUCUAAUUCCUUGUUCACAUGUAUAUGUGAAUCAAGUGAAGGACAAAGGGAUCGGAUACACUUGGGUGUGCGUUGAUCAGGUCCACCACAAAGUUGAUAAGAUUAUUCAUUAUGAUUUACUAAAGUUUAGUAAAUAUGAUUAUACUUACAAGUUUAAGUAUAGUUCUGGAUCAUUGGAGAAGUUUCAAUGAUAGACAUAAUGAGUAAGAAGAAUCAAAUAAGGCAGAAAGAUAAAAGUUUCUCUAAUCUGAAGAGAUGGGAGAGUACUUGAGUAUCUUGUUUUAUGAUUAUCUUAGUGAUUAUGAAACCAUGUCACAAUUGAUCCUCUAAGGACACCUUAGUUCAUUUUGUUUGGCUAAGGAGAGGAAUCGUGAAUUGUUGAAAUGGUUAGAUCAAAAGAUAAAUUAUACUUCGUUCCAAAAUUAAAUCUUAGAGUCAUAAUCCAAGAUUAAGCCUUGAGUGACAUAAUCUUAAGAAACGUUUAAAAUACUUGUUAAAUGUAGAGUAAAAUGUGUUCUUACUCUUAUACAUUUGAUGUUGGUAAGUUGUGAUGUUUUGGAUAAAACAAAGACCAACUUAGGCCAAUUGGGUAAAGUGUUUUUCUUGAUUAGAAUCCGCACUAUCUCUUGGAUGUUUGACAAGGGAGUCUUAUAUGUCAAGAGGACAGUGGGAGUCUUAAAGGUCUUGAAAGUCUCAAGAACUAAUCAAGAAUAAAACCUGAAGUUCUUCACUAGCACACGACUUGAGGUUUAUAACCUAUCGUGUUGACAUAUCUGUGCCCAUUCCAGUUAAAGUUGGCUUUGCAUAUGAGUUCUUAGAGUUCUCAAUUUGUUGCACAACAACUUGGAAGCAAUGGCAGGCCCUUGAGCUGCCAGGUGGCAAGAAAUUAAGAUUGAGUUCAGUCCAUAUGAGUUUGGAUUUGUCAUUAUCCUUGUCUUGUGACUAUGGUUUUGACAAUUCACAUGGAUAAGAACACAUACACCAUUAAAUCUAAGUGUCAUAAGGUUUCUCUCCGAUUCAUGAAAAUGAUGGUGAGGAAACACUUUCACUAAGUAGAUUUUAGCUAGAUAGCAAUUGUGAUAUUUGCAUUCUCAAAGUCGUUAGUGGAGCGCGUGUGGUUAACCGGCACACUAAUUUGGACUUGUGAGAAGUGGCAAAAAGGUCUAAACAUUAUGAUUACGGCAUCCCUCUUCAUAAUUGUUUAGAUACACAAGUGUGCUAUCUAAGGGAAGGUGUAUGAUUUUGAUAAAGCUUUAUCAAAACAAUCUAGCAUCAGAAAUCUGAACUUUGGUAAGAAAGUCAAUGAAGUAUUGAUUUCUAGAAGUCCAGCUGAUUUCUGAGUACAUGUCAAAGCUAGUGGGAGCAUAAGUGUUAUGCUAAUAAUCAUCAUGUUAGUGGGAGCAUGAUAAUUAUGAUAAGUAUUGCAAGUUAGCAAUGUUAAUUAUAGAAAACAAAAGUUUCAAUUGGGAAAAAGUUGUUUUGCUAUAAUUAAGGGAGAGGAAAUUAUACUUCAUCUCAAAUCUAUAAGCUUAGAUCGUGAGGUUUUAAUCAUUUAGUCAAGGAUAUAUAUGAAUUUCAUGUUGGAAUGGCUCAACAUAAGGAAAUUCUGUAUAUGGGUCCAUUAUUUGCGUUCUAAAAUUCGAUUAUGAUUACGGCAUCCCUUUUCAUAAUCUGAAUUAUGAGAACUUGGCAAAUUGAAAUGGAAAUAUUAUAGCAAAAGACUGGUUUAGUCUUUAUGUGAGACAUCAUGAAUCGUGUCCCAUAUGCUUCGGAUAUAGGAUCGAUUACAUGUGCUAUAUUCAUCCGUUCUAAAAUUUUCCAAAUGCCUGGGGCAUUAAGAAGGGAAAAGGUUUAGAACUGGAUAUGACUAAAAGGAUUAAACAAUUGUCGAGGACAAUCUAAGGUUUACCAAAGAUUGGUUGCUCAAGGACAGUUGGAAGUAUAGUGAUAAUUCUGGAAGGACCAUAUUGACAUAAUCUGUAAGGAGGCAACUCUUGUUCAGAAGUGAUAGUCAAAAUGGAAUCUGGAAAUGUUUCAAAGUUAGAAUUUUCAAUCUGUUUAAGAUUAGGAAACUUAAUGCAAGAAGGAUGUUUCCAAGGAGCUGAUCUCCUUUGGAAUACUCUGUAAUGAUUGUUGUCAAGUCUUUCUGACUUUGUGCAUAAUCAUUACAAGAGGAUCAAUGCAUAUAAGUUUAGAAUCUAACAGAUUUCAGUAAAUGGCAUGAAUUUGGAAUUCUUGCAUUUGCAGUAAGGAUUUGGGAGUGUGAAAAGAGAAUCAUUGAAGUUAUGUUCAAUUGAUCUAGUUCACAAAGUAAAGAUCAUAGACAAACAUAGUAUGCAUACUUGGUGUGUGGCAUGACUAGUGUUUAAGAAAACAUAGUGUACAUGCUUGGAGCAUGGGACAACUAUUGUUUUAAAUUCAAGAAUAAAGUUGAUAGCUGAAACAGUAUACAAUGAAUAAUGUGUAAUCAUAUGGUGAUAAAUAAAAGGUGUUUUAUUUAUGUUCAAAGUUUUGAUACCAUAUUGGAUUCAAUUAUUAUUGUGUUUCACUUUGCAUGUUUUGACUUCCCGAAUAAACUAGGUUAUUCUUCCGGAAUGACUAAGUUAUUCAAACCAUCCACAGUCGGUCAUAUGUUGGAAGUAGAUAUGAAUUAAGACUGUCAUGGGUUGGCUUGUAGAGGUCUAAGGUGUUGGACAAAGGGCUACAACACUCAUGAGUGCUCAUAAGUUCUGAGUAUUGGAUUCAACCCGCGCUCAUUGGAAUCACUUCAUGGAUUUUAUCACGAGUGAUCAUGAGACGAUAAUAUCUUAUAUUCUUCAAACCUAGAGAUAUGAGUUGUUACUAUGAGUUGAUAGUACAUUGAUUGCACGAAAACGCAUUUGGUAACUCGGUGCUAUAAAACGUGCCUUUGUGUAUGAUUCAACAAGUAGUAGAACAAGCCAUAUGAGUCGAAGUUUAUCCAUUCCUUUUACCUUCGGGAUAAAAGCGAUAUCUGUGGGCCCCUCGAUGAUUUGAUGAUGACAAAUGGAAGUGCUCGGCCGGGCCAGGACUGAUUUGAUUUGUUCAAUUAGUCAGUCGUCAUAAAUCAGAAAUCGGGAAACAACAAAUGGACAGAGAGAAUGAUUAUAAUCCAUGUCUCAGUCCAUAUGAUAUCUAGAAUGGAGGAAUAUAUGAUCACUUAUCUAAUGGACAAGUCAUUGACAAAGGUCAGAGUUCAUCUACAAGGUCAGAGUUCGACAGAAGCUUUUGAGAGCUACGAUUGCCAGUCGGUUCUUGAAGUCAUAUGCAAUAAUAGUUUUAGACUUAUCCAAGUGGGAAACUGUUGGAUUAAUGUCUAAGUCCAUAACUAUAAUUGGUAAGACUUGACCCGACCCGGCAUGGUCCAUUUGGGUUGCAUGGCAUCAUGCACUUGGAUAGACUAAAAUGAGAGAAAUAACACUUAAGGUUUAUUAAUAUAUUAUAAGUUCUAAUAUAUUAAUAAGAUUAUUUAAUUAGUAUUGAUCAAUAAUUAAUUUAGAAUUAAUUAUGUGAUCAAAAGAAGACUAAUUAAAUAUAUGGGUUGAUUGUGUAAAUCAUCCAUACUUAUAUAGUGGGCUAAUGCUCCAUGGAUUAUCAAGUUGGGCUCAAACCCAUUGGAUGCUCCAUGGUGUAUUUGAACCCAUGGAUCCAUGGAAAUGGAUAGCCAUGACAAUUAGGGUUUACCCUAAUUGUAACACACUAUAUAAUGAUCUCUUUCUUGGGAAAAUCGGCGACUAUGAUAUGCAUGGAGGGCAAGCCGAUUCUUGAAGUGUUCUAAUUUCUCUCUAAGUUAUUCCAAGUGCUUAUGGUGUUGUGUGAACCAUUUGAGGUGUCACACUUGGGGCACUAGGCACUCAAGCUUCAUGAAGACAAGCACCAACAAAAGGUAUGUUAUUCUAACUUGUGUUAUUCAAAGUUUUGUAUGCUAGAAUAGAACAAUACCUUGGAAAGUUGAUAUUUGCAUGUAUAAUAGAGAAAACAUAGAUCCAAGGUAUUUAGGGUUGCAUGUACACUUAGGAGUGUUAGAUUGCUCAAAACCCAACAGUGGUAUCAGAGCCUAGGCUUGUUUUCUUGUUGUACUUGCUUAAACUGCUUAAAAAUCGACUUUUGGUGCUGUCUGCCCAGCAGACUCGCCGAGUCCAUGAAGGGACUCGACGAGUCCAAGGCAAAAUGCAUCCAACUCGCCGAGUUUGUUCAUGCACUCGACGAGUUGGACCCCCAGACAGCAUAUUUUCGAGUUUUGGUGCUGGAAUUGGUCUAGAAUCAUUACCUUUGACUGUUUUGGGCUUAUAAAACUUGUUUUGAAUGUGGUAAUGAUUAUGUUAAACCAAUUUCAAUGCUAUAAUAAAAGUUUCAAGUUUAUAUGUGUUCAUGUUAUUCUUGAAAAUUGUUGAUUAUGAAUGAUCAUGCUUAUGAGUUUUGCUAGAUCAUAGGAAUUGUGUGCAAAUUGUUUGUUGAUAUAAUUCAUGAUCUUGUUGAAAAUUGUAUGGAGUUCAUAACUUGUCCUCAAGUUAUGAAUUUUCAAGAAUUUUAUGUUUCCUUGAUUUAUGAGUUAGUUUAGAUUGAUAAUGAAAAAAUUAUGUUUUAGUUGUUUUCAAUCCAUAUUAGUCUAAAAGAAGUUCAUAAAAUAUGUUUUUGUAACUUGUCUUCAAGUUAUGUGAAAAGUCAUAUUUAUGAAUCUUAAAAACUCAUAAAAGUUUUGUAGGUUACAUAAAAUGUAAGAGUUUUUUCCAUUAAAUAGUUUAAUGACUCCAUAACUUGUCCUCAAGUUAUGGAUGUUGAAGAGACACUUCUUUAAAGUGUUUUUAAAGAAUAAGGGGUUACAUUAAAAUGAAGAGUCUUCAUUUUAAUGAACCAUUAAACUCAUAAGUUAUGAUUUAAAGAGUCUUGAAAUAGUUUCAAAACUUGCCCUCAAGUUUUGGAAUUUGAAAAGUUACUCCUCAUGUAUACUUUAAUUCCAAAUUGAACAUUGAAAUUUUAAAAAGUUUAAAAUUCAACCCUUAUACUAUUAUUAUAAUUUUAAUUAUAUAGAUAUGUAUAAGAGGAAGUCAAUCUUACCGUUAGUAGGCCUCAUUCACGAAGCCGGUCUAUAAGGGGGGUAUAAGGUUACUGCCUAUAAAAUGGCAGUUUAAUGGGUGUCCACUCUCACCCACCGCUUCCUUGACUGGUGGAGGGUCGUUAGCCGAACGGGUAGGAAUGGACUAUAAUUCUCCCUUCAUUAAAAGUAUAAUGAAAAAUACUAAGUAACUAAACACUUAUAAAUUCCCAAUCUUAGUUACUUAGGAAAAUGUGAAAAGGUGCUAGCCCAUAAAAUUACACUUUGUACCUUACCAAGUCGUUAGUGGAGCGUGUGUGGUUAACCGGCACACUAACAUGGACUAGUAAGAGUGGCAAAGGGUAACUUGACUUUAUUAUAGAUCGGUGGAGCGUGUGUGGUUAACCGGCACAUCGAUUAGGUAAUAUUGUUAAGGGUACCAAGUCAAUUUGUAUGGUUAUUCACACCUUGUUUGUGAUCCUCGGCAUCCCAGUCACAAAUUUGAGAGGGCACAAUCGAGAUUCAAACAUGCCAUUGAAAAGUUCAAUGUAUCUCAAAAGAUCUAGGAGUUUCAAAACCAAUAAAACCUAAUAAUAAAAUAUUUCGUUUUCAUGGUGGAAAUUGGUAAAUCGUCAUUUACCUACCUUCAACUAUUUUAUAAUUUGGAUUACGGCAUCCCUCUUCCAGUUAUAAAUAGGUUGUUGGGUCCUAGCCUUAAUAUUUCAUAUUGGGUGUUAUAUUAAGGACUUUAAAUCAACUAACUUGAAUUUCUCCCAUUAUAGAUGUCUAGUUUAGACAGCUAUGGUCUUCCCAAAUCUUUAGGAACAAGCUUCCUAAUGAAGAUGAUAUCCCAAAUGGCAAUCAAGGUGAAAGAUCAAUCCCUUUGUUGGGCAUUUGUGGGACUAGAAAUCAUACUUCACUUCAUCCACCUCCUCCAAUAAAUCUCCCUAUCCCACAAGUUUUAAGACUUGAUAAGUUCUAAGUCACUCAAUCCCUAUUGGCAAGCAAAGUCUAUAUGUGCUUAGAUCUUGGGGAUUAAGCCACAUAUUGACAAGUCGGGAGAGUCGGGUGUCGAAGUCUCGAGGUAGCUGGCUGCUGACUUGGUUCUUCAGUCACUCCCUGAUGACAGGUCGCGACAAGACCCUUAAUGAUCUUACCUAUUUGCUUGAUGAUGCUAAAUCAGCAGUGAUUUGGAGCAUUAGUAAAGCAAAUUGGAUUGGAAGAUCUACUUUCCAAACCUAUUUGGACAUUGAAAAUGGUGACAUUGGAGGUCCAGGAAAAACUUUCUCUUCCCAAUGGAAAGGGAUCGGCCAUAGUCAACUCGGUUGACCAAAUGGUAAAGAGAAAGGUUAAGUCUGUGAUAGUCCCAUGUACCGUUUCCAAAGAGUCCAUAUGAUUCUGUUGCCAAAGGAAAGACAUUGGUUGCGAAGCUGCUAAAUUUACCUGAAACAUCUUAAGGAUGGUAAAGUCAAUAGGUUUGACUCUACUUCAGGUAAAGUCCAUUGUCUAACUCUAUUAAGUUUCUAUUUUGAGAUUUUUAUUGCAUAAUGUGACGAGGUCACAUGUUGAUGGUUUAAGAAUCAAUGAAAAGGUGAAGAAAUUUAAAGGAAGUAUAUGUUGAUUCUGAUCGCGAAGAUGC
rnacentral:lncRNA from 1 species